AGCCUAAGUCCGGAUUAGCUAGUUGGUGGGGUAAUGGCUCACCAACGGCGACGAUCCGUAACUGGUCUGAGAGGAUGAUCAGUCACACUGGAACUGAGACACGGUCCAGACUCCUACGGGAGGCAGCAGUGGGGAAUAUUGGACAAUGGGCGAAAGCCUGAUCCAGCCAUGCCGCGUGGGUGAAGAAGGUCUUUGGAUUGUGUUCACUUUAAGUUGGGAGGAAGGGUUGUAUAUUAAUACUUUGCUAUUUUGACGUUCCCAGAGAAUAACACCGGCUAACUCUGUGCCAGCAGCCGCGGUAAUACAGAGGGUGCAUCGUUAUCGGAAUUACUGGGCGUAAGCGCGCUAAGUGGUUU
rnacentral:rRNA from 1 species